AUCUUUUUUUUUUUUUUUUUUUUUUUUUUUU
rnacentral:ribozyme from 1 species